rnacentral:lncRNA from 1 species
GUGUCUUAGGAUAUAUUUUCUUAGAGAGACGUAUACCAUGACUUGCAGGUAGAUAACCUCUCUUACUUAUCUCUAUAUUAAAUAUCUUUAAUAUGAGAUUAUGUAUCGUGAUUGGGAUAAGCCUAACAUCCUAUUAGAUCUAUCUCUAUAGAUCUUUAUGUUGGGAAUAGUGUCCUAAAGCCAAUCAUCAGCCUAUUGAUGGUUGUGCUCAUUUUUAUAUUUGUACAUGAAUUAUGAAUUAAAUAAAAAUUAUUUUGAU